rnacentral:rRNA from 1 species
AUUGAACGCUGGCGGCAUGCCUUACACAUGCAAGUCGAACGAAUGGAUUAAGAGCUUGCUCUUAUGAAGUUAGCGGCGGACGGGUGAGUAACACGUGGGUAACCUGCCCAUAAGACUGGGAUAACUCCGGGAAACCGGGGCUAAUACCGGAUAACAUUUUGAACCGCAUGGUUCGAAAUUGAAAGGCGGCUUCGGCUGUCACUUAUGGAUGGACCCGCGUCGCAUUAGCUAGUUGGUGAGGUAACGGCUCACCAAGGCAACGAUGCGUAGCCGACCGGAGAGGGUGAGCGGCCACACUGGGACUGAGACACGGCCCAGACUCCUACGGGAGGCAGCAGUAGGGAAUCUUCCGCAAUGGACGAAAGUCUGACGGAGCAACGCCGCGUGAGUGAUGAAGGCUUUCGGGUCGUAAAACUCUGUUGUUAGGGAAGAACAAGUGCUAGUUGAAUAAGCUGGCACCUUGACGGUACCUAACCAGAAAGCCACGGCUAACUACGUGCCAGCCGCCGCAGUAA